CAGUUCCUGGAUUUUCUAAAUUUUUAUGCGGAGACUAAACACACUUCACAUACCUAAAAAAUAUCCAAAAAUCCAAAAUCGAUGUUAAAAAUAUCUUUCGGCUAAUUUUAAAAUUCUAGCACGGCGACAGUGCUGUACUCCGACGAUGACACCACCGUCUGUAGCAGCGGUUGCCUCGACCUGACCGUUUUUGGUCAGUUUAGGUCGAUUUCGGCCGACUUUAUACGUAUCCCUGCGAAAAAAUACAUUAGUAAACCUCAGUUGGUCGAAAAAAUC
rnacentral:lncRNA from 1 species